rnacentral:rRNA from 1 species
GAUGAACGCUAGCUACAGGCUUAACACGUGCAAGUCGAGGGGAAACGAUAUUGGAAGCUUGCUUCCGAUAGGCGUCGACCGGCGCACAGGUGAGUAACGCGUAUCCAACCUGCCCACCACUUGGGAAUAACCUUGCGAAAGUAAGACUAAUGCCCAAUGACAUUGAGUGCAGACAUCUAAUCUCAAUUAAAGAUUUAUCGGUGAUGGAUGGGGAUGCGUCCGAUUAGCUUGUUGGCGGGGUAACGGCCCACCAAGGCAACGAUCGGUAGGGGUUCUGAGAGGAAGGUCCCCCACAUUGGGAACUGAGACACGGUCCAAAACUCCUACGGGAGGCAGCAGUGAGGAAUAUUGGUCAAUGGGGCGAGAGCCCUGAACCAGCCAAGUAGCGUGCAGGAUGACGGCCCUAUGGGUUGAAACUGCUUUUAUAAGGGAAUAAAGUGGGUCACGUGUGACUUUUUGCAUGUACCUUAUGAAUAAGGA